UUACGGCCAUAUCACAUUGAAACACCGGUUCUCGUACGAUUGCCGAAGUUAAGCCUGGCCAGUACUUAGGUGGGUGACCCCUUUGGAAUACUAGUUGCUGUAAG